rnacentral:rRNA from 1 species
UGAGGAAUAUUGGUCAAUGGGCGAGAGCCUGAACCAGCCAAGUAGCGUGCAGGAUGACGGCCCUAUGGGUUGUAAACUGCUUUUAUAUGGGAAUAAAGUGAGGGACGUGUCCCUUAUUGCAUGUACCAUACGAAUAAGGACCGGCUAAUUCCGUGCCAGCAGCCGCGGUAAUACGGAAGGUCCAGGCGUUAUCCGGAUUUAUUGGGUUUAAAGGGAGCGUAGGCUGUUUGUUAAGCGUGUUGUGAAAUGUAAGAGCUCAACUUUUAGAUUGCAGCGCGAACUGGCAGACUUGAGUGCGCACAACGUAGGCGGAAUUCAUGGAGUAGCGGUGAAAUGCUUAGAUAUCAUGACGAACUCCGAUUGCGAAGGCAGCUUACGGGAGCGCAACUGACGCUAAAGCUCGAAGGUGCGGGUAUCGAACAGG